AUUUAUUUAACAAUACCAUUGCUGUAAUAUACCACAAAUGUAAAAUGGUAAUUGGCAGUUAUGGUGAAAGAGGGCGGGUCAGAAAGCCAGAAAAAUAUCAUUGUAGCACAACUGAAAAAGAUGAAAUAUGCCGAUAAAGCAUAAAUAUACGAGACUGUUCCUCUCGUAAGGUGUGGUUCUAGUUCUUCUCUCUUUUUUUCUCAUUUUCUUGGCUUAUUUUCUCUAUGAUUGGAUCAGGGUGGGAUUUGAGUAGGUGUGGUACAUAGAUGGAGCCAUAGGGGACUAAACAAGAAAAAAAAAAAAUAUUGUGAGGGAGGGCAUAUGAGGAAAUCGGUGUUGCAGGGGCGGAGACUAGCUUUUCUGUCUCCAGUUCAAUUUCUGCCAAUUCCCCGGACGUUCAAGGUACUUUGCUGAUGGUCUCAAAGGAGAGUCGAGAGUUCGAAAGCAUAGUCAGAACAGAGCAGGGUAAAUUUAGCGGCCGUGUUUAAUUGCAGGCGUCGUGGGAGCACGGACUUAUUUUUGUUGAAUAUUUUUAUCUCGUCGGGAUUAUGCGAUCUCAGAAAUCCAGAAUGGUACGCGAGUGCAUGCAGGGUCUCUACACUGGGGGAGGAGUGGAUUGUAUGUCACACUCAUUCCCUCCCUCUCUCCCGCUUUCUCUAUCUCUUUUACUCUUACCACCCUGGAUUUGCUGCCUUUCUUCCCUCCCACUCUUGCUCUCCCUCUCUCUCCCUCCCUCUCAAGUGCAAGACCAUGUGGGGCGUAUGAUGAGAAAGAAGCUCACCCCACUGAGUCUCAUAUUUCAACAUUAGUCAGCUCUCUCUCUCUCUCUUUCUCUCUCUCUCUCUCGCUUUCUCUCUCACUGUCUCACUCACUCUCACUCUUCUGUCCACUAUUUCUCUGGCUCUCUUUCCUAUGCUCCCCUCAUUUCCUCCUCUCACUCCUCUCCUUAAGACAUGGGGGAGAUUGCUGGAGCUAAACUGAAAAAACGUGGCAGGGAAGACGGGAAGAGAAGGAAAAAGGAGGCAAAAAAAGCUGCUUUUUCUGCUGCAAGGGCCUCCCCACCAGCGGGCCUAGCCAGAAAGGGAGGGCUUCUGCUCUCCUAAUAGGAUUUAACCCUCUGUCUACAGCCGCUGCACUGCAGCCGAACCAAACCCUGCCAACAAGUCACACUCUUCAGCGCAUUGCUUGAGGUUUCAUGCGCCAGUUUUUCGGAGAUUACUUUGUUUCGUUUUGGUUUUGAGUUCUUCGUUUAUGCCUCGCGAUGAGUAUCAGUUGUUGCUUUUUUCUGAGUGAUUUGGAGCGCGGGAUCUCUUUGGACAUAGAGAUCUAUACAGUAGGUAGGGGUAGUGGUGUUCGGGAGCUGUGUCUGGGACAGAUGCCAAUUGCUCACAAAAGACUGAACAAAAAAAAAAAAAUUCAGGCCACCGGACCAAAAGCAGAGCAGAGAUUUUUGCUGUGAAAAUGUUACACAGACACGUGAGAGGGAGUGCGGAGAGGAACGUGGCUCCCCUUCUCUGGCAGAUUCUUCUUCAUGCACAACCUCUCCCAGAACUAAAACCCGAAAUCCUGCUCUCUGGAACACAUGCUUUGGAGGAAGUAGUGUACUUCCAGAAGCUGGUCGGUGCUGAUGGUUCAGAAGCCCAAGAGGGAAGAGAGAAAGGCACAACUGAGAGACGCCAAGAGGGGAGGGAAAGGAGGAAAGAAGGAAAACGGAAGGAGGAGGAGGGGAGGACCUUUUCCAGCCUGUUAAAUGUUCCCCAGGCCCAGCCAAGGCGAAGGCAGGCACUGCAUGCUGAUUUGCAUUCAGCGGACAUGCUAAUUGUGUGUUUUCUAACAUACUCCAUUCAUUCGGACGAGGCUCUAGUCUACAGACGGGCUUCAUACACGCCUCCCAGACACCCGCGUGGCCUCCUAUUGUUGCUGAGGCUGCUUAACCGAGCCGAAGAGCUCCAGGCCCGGGCCAAGGCACAAUGCAGAGCAGGGGGUUAGCCUGGAUCUCUAGGCUGCUGUGGAGAGAGGAGAGAACGGGGAAACACUUAGCUAGAGCUCCCUUCUCCGAUUCGGAGUGCCUCUAUCAUCUCUAUCCCUCCACAAUGAAGACGAUAUUGCAGGAAAAUGACCUUUCUGAGAAGGAAAGAGGCCUGUAGGAAGUCGAACCUGAGUAUCCGAAACACUUUUAGAGCCUUGAGGGUUAGAUUUCUGGUUUUCUGAAGCUUGAUCCUGUCCUACACACUCUGACAAGGAUUUCUACACAGGGUCCGAGCACCACCAUGAUGCCAGCUGGAAAUCCUGCAGAUAAUUGUGACACAUGUCCAUAAGCGUAGGUGUAAAUCCCUUCAUGGUAAAUAAGCUAAAUAUUCAGUAUAGGUAGUAUAUUGAUAUCGCUGGCCAAACACGGCAUUGUAUAAUUACAUGCUUAAAUGAUGUAUAUAAAUAAUAAAUAUAAAACAAUUUUUUAAAAAUGGCAUAUAAACAAUGAGGAUGAAAAGAUGACAGACAAUUAAAGUCAGACUUUUUUUUUUUCAGGAAACAUUUAAUUUAUUUAUAUUUUUUAUAGUUGAAUAGCCACAACAACACAACAACAAAAGCUCUCAUUGAAGCUUUUUCUUAAUUUAUAUUAUAUUUAUGAAAACACAAAUCAAAACGGUCCAUUUUCAGCUUCCUGGUUCUUAUAGUGGAGCUUUACAAGACACAAGCUGGUUCAUAGGAAGUUAUCUACUAAAUGCUCUCAAUGCAAAAAAAAAAAAAAAACCCAAAAAACAAACAGUUACUGUUAAUACACUUACCUAACAAUACUGGAGUGCAAAAUAAGUGUUUGAUCAUGACAAAGAGCUUAUCACUUUUCUACUGAAACCAGUUUUGGCAAAAAAAAUUUAUAAUGUUGCACAGGCCUUUUUUUUUUUUCUUCGUCUUUUUACUCACCCCCACAGACUACAUCCACUCAAACAUAUUCUCUUUUAUUGCACAGUAGUUCUUGAUUUUUCAAAAACUUGAAAGGAAUUUUUUUUUUUGUUAUUUAUUUAUUUUUAAAGAAUGUUCACUAAACCCUCACUAGAAUACAUAUUGUCACUGUUUAAAAGAAUAUAAACAGGUCCCUUCCUCUCACAUCCAUUUCUAUGCCUAAGGCAUUGGAAAAAUGACUGACCUUCUGGAGAGUCUCAGUGAACAUUGUGAACAUUAGCCAGCGUUGUGUAGAUGAAUAUAAGAGUGCAGCGGUUUGGGAGACUGGGAAUGAAGGACUAGACAGGGCUGGCAAGAAAAAAGAUGGAGUGAAGCGAAUUAGCAUUUUCUUAUUAGGCAGCUUCAUUUUUAGUUGACUGACUUGUCCUGGACUCUUUUGGCUCCACCCUCCACUCCUUGACCUUGGAUAAGUGCCAUAAACUGUUGUUUUCCACUUGUGUCGAAGUAGUGGCAAGGGUAUGCGGUACUUCUGAAACCUCCACUACUUGUCUACCCUGCCCUUUGUCGUCGUCGCCCCCCCCCCCCCUCCCCCCAACCCCACCCCACCCCACCCAGAUGCUUUGGCUAGAAAUACAACCUGCUUGUGCAUAAGGCACUGAGGCUGUGGCUCUGCUACCCCAUCACUGCUGUAUGAUAUCUCCUCUGGAAUUCUGCACAUGCCAAGCAUUCGGUUACUCAGCCAGAUGGUGGAAACAUCUUAAAGACACCUCUGAUAUCUGUUCAUCUAGAGAAAUGCAUCUAAACAUGUAUGGUUCAUGGAAAUAUUUUCAUGGAUAAAUAUACACAUUUAAUUUCAUAUUAUCAGCAAUUAUUGUUUUGCUUUGUUUUUACCUAAAGGUGUACUGGAAGCUCUAUUUCAGUAUAGGACCAUUUGCAUCCAAAAGGGUUUAACGAGUUGAAAAGUACAAAUAAACCGUUUAAAAAAAAAAACGCAAAACUUUAAGCUCAUUCUCUUCAUUGUUUUCUUUGGGCAGCAGCCUAUUUCUGCUUGGCACGUAUAACCACCCAUAUUGUGUUUAUGAAUUAUAAACCACAUUACAUAAGUGCCCACUACACACAUAUUUCCCCACCACCUCCUAUACUACCGAAGCGCACUCACAGGACCUCUAGAGUGUCCUUCUGCCAUGGGCCUUUGCCCGGGUAGAGUUCCGAGGAACAGAUGGCAUCUCUGCAUGGCAUGGGAUGUCACAACGUGAUGCAUCUGAAUAUAUAGGGAAAACUGUCCAAGCAAACCUUAAAUGCAAAAAAGGAUUCAAUAAGCUUACUAUGAUUUUGGUGAAAUUCAGCGUUUUUUCAGAAUAAUCUUUCUGUAGAUCUUCUUUUAUUUGCUCAGUGGAGAAGAGUUGACCUGGUUAGCUACAAAUAGUCUCAGUCAUUAGUGCACUGCAUAAGGUUAGAAAUCCUCUGGUUUUGCUGUGGAGCUUUAAACAGUCAAAAGUAUUUGAAUAGUGCUCUAUUAAUAGCCUAGCAACAGAUGCAUUUCUGUCUUCCAAUGGCAGAGGGGCAUGUGCUUUGAGAAUGUGUCAGCCUGACAGAUCAUCUCAGUAAGUCACUGUAGCCUGUCUGGAUCAGAGCGUGCCCAUUGCUGCUUCAGCACUCUUUGCUCCACUAGUCCAUUCAGAAUAGGACAGGUCCUAAAACAUUUUUAUUCACUAAUUACAACAAUAAAAAAAAAGUCUCUAAAAGGCCCACGAAUGGAGAAGUAGUAUGUAACCAAACAGUUUUAAAUCCAAGUGACAGUGCAUCAUCGCUUUUCCCUGAUUGAAAUUUAAAUUCGCGACUAAACUUUAGAAAUUCGAAUUUGGUCCUUGGAUGUUGGCAAGUCUUAACUUACUUAACUCAAAACAGGAUGCAGCUGGUCUCCUGUGUGAAUGGAGGAGACUGCAUCAGAAACGAUUAGUGGACGAACGCCUGAUAACUUUAUUUUGACCUGUCACUGAGGUGCAUUUUUUUUAUUACGUUACCAAAUGUUUGCUAUUGAAAUUAUAGCUGAAUUUGGCAAGUGAAAGCAGAAAACCGGUUUGUAUGUUCAGAUCCAGCCACGGAAAUUUCAGCUCUGGGAAACAAUGGGACCUAACUCAAGACAGAUCAUUGUGGCACUAAGCCCAGUUUUGUCUUGUAGAUUAUAUAUACUGUUGGUGAUUUGUAUUGGCUCCGAACAAUCCAUACUGUGGUAGCAUAUUCUUUCUGCUACUGAAUGUUUUGUGAAUGUACUGGGGAAGUCUCAUCCAGAGCUCUCAUUGAUGGCUGAAGUUCCUCCCAGCAGACCAUCCGCAGCAUUAUUCCCUGCAGGAUUAUUCAUUUAAUUUCACAGUCUCCACAAUAAAUCUGUUUGGCCCUGUUACUUGUGGUAUAAUAGUGCAAAUUUGAAACUCUUUCCAGCUGAUUCUUGCUAACGUAAGAAGAUGAUUCCGAUGACCAAAUUCUGUAUGUGGACACUGUAGGUUCAUAUAGACAGAAGAUUGACAGUAGUACUGGUGAAAUAAAAUGAAUCAAGUUUUAGUGUUCAGAUUGUUUCCUAACACAGUGCCCCCAGAUAAGGUCCACAGAUAAGGCCUCAGCAUACUUAACGUGAAGAGGACAUCUGCAAGGGUUGCGCAAAUGUUUACAAGCUCGCAUACUUUCUGCAGUUUUGUUUUGGCCAUCGCCUAUGAACGCUCCAGUCACAAGCUUUGUCAGGUAGAUUGCUUGUCCGUGGAUUCACCAAGCUGCCCUGUGCAGGACACGUCGCCUCUACACGGUGUCCAUUUGCUCCAUAAUUAUGUCACAUUAUUCGUGGAAGUCUGGCGACCUUUGUCUCCGCAUGAAGUAUGCUGACGACUAUGCUCCAAUCUCUCCCACCUCGUCACUCAGUCAUUUCUAGUCGUACUCAAACACAGUAUUGGUCCAGUUGGACCACAAAUGACAAACAAUUAUGUAACUUAACAAGUUUUUCUGUCCAAUGAAAACACGAAACAAAUCAAUUGAUCUUGCUUUUAGGAUGUAAAUGUGAAUAACAUUUGCAUAACUGAAAAGCCAAUUCGUUUGAAAGGGAAAGUACACCGUAACACAAAAGGUAAUUAACCUUUGGCAGAUUUUUUUUAUGCUAAGUUUAUCCAUGUGAACAUGAUCCUUGUGAAUUCUCAGUACUUGGAAUUACUGAGCCGAGAGAAUGCAAGUAGAAGGGCUGUGGCCUAUUCUUAAAAAAAAAGAAGUGUCUUUUGUAGUUAAUUUGCUCAAUCUCGCACCAAAAAUGAGAUGUCUCUAAAUUAAUGGAAGUAAUCAUAUUCCAAGAAAGUAAAAAAAAAAAAAAAAAAACCUUAUCACAAAAUGAGAUUUUUACGAAGAGUCGUAGGUCAACUCUUGUGGAAACUCACCACUCAGGUAGGUUUUCACUGGGAUUUAGGCCAGGGGACUGGAAUGGCCACAUCAAAAACUUGAUUCGUUGAUCAUUUAGGCAUUUCUGUAUUGAGUUGGACAUAUAUUUUAAAGCAAUGUCUUGGAGAAAUGGUGGCCCUAUUCUCACUGUGCAUGGGGCAAAAUGGGUCUGUGUACUCUUCCACUGUGUACUCUUCUAUCAUUACAGCUCAGGUUGUUUUAAACUUCUUAGCUAUCUUGAUUAUGCCUAUAAGGCAUGUAGCUAUUUUAUAGCCAUUGCCAGAAUAAUGAAGGCCAACAAACUUUCCUCAUUCUAUUUGUGCAUUGUUGAACCUUUCCCCUGUUGACGAACAACUUAGGAAUUCAGCUCUCUGUGUCAUCUCAUAUUUAUACCCCAGUGAAUCGGGAAGUCGUGGAAGACCGUUGAAGAGACUCUAAACACUCGAGUGAACUUAAAAAAACAAACAUGUAAACUACACAGUUUGUUCAUAAGAGUCAUAAGACACAUCGCUUUGUUAAUGUGUAAAAUACUGCAUGUUUUUUUUUUUUCUUGGAAUAUUUUUGCUUAAAUUGGUGAUUUGAUAUCUUUCGUGAACUUAAA